rnacentral:rRNA from 1 species
UAGGGAAUCUUCGGCAAUGGACGAAAGUCCGACCGAGCAACGCCGCGUGAGUGAAGAAGGUUUUCGGAUCGUAAAACUUUGUUGUUAGAGAAGAACAAGGACGUUAGUAACUGAACGUCCCCUGACGGUAUCUAACCAGAAAGCCACGGCUAACUACGUGCCAGCAGCCGCUUUAAUACGAAGGUGGCAAGCGUUGUCCGGAUUUAUUGGGCGUAAAGCGAGCGCAGGCGGUUUCUUAAGUUUGAUGUGAAAGCCCCCGGCUCAACCGGGGAGGGUCAUUGGAACCUGGGAGACUUAAGUGCAGAAGAGGAGAGUGGAAUUCCAUGUGUAGCGGUGAAAUGCGUAGAUAUAUGGAGGAACACCAGUGGCAAAGGCGGCUCUCUGGUCUGUAACUGACGCUGGGGAUAAAAAGCGUGGGGAGCAAACAGG